AGAGAGCAAAAAAAUAGCAUGUCUAAUACAAGAUUUAUUUGAGUGAGGUUUUUUUUGGCCAAAUUUUAUGGCAACUUUUGCACUCUCUCAAACUUGCCAUACUAGCUGAUAAGCAACAUUAAAUAAAUCUAUGCAUAGCACACACACACACACAAAAAGGCACAUACGGUCCACUAUCUUUACAUUUCCACAAAAUGCAUCUCAAGGGAUUUUCCUGUCUUCCUGCAAAUUUUUCAAGAUAGGUUUGAGAGCAUUUAUGUUUAAAUAUGAUAUUCAUCUGCUUAAUGGACAUUUCCACUAAAAAGGCCACCACUGUACUCUGCAGUUGGAGCACUUCUUACUGAAGGAUUUGGCUUCAUCUUCAAGUUUGGACUUUAAGUCUUCCUGAUAGAGGUGUUUUUUUUCCUUCAUUGUAUGGGAACUGUUGAAUCACGGCCUGAACCUCUGUUUGACCACCUGAAGUGAGCACUGAGUCAACUGCAGUGGCACAGGUGAACACAAUUUCACCUGAGUGACCGGAAGACUCUAAGACCCCAUUUAAGGGCUGACUCCCACAGAGAAAUGAUCUCUAUCUGGAGAUCACCCCUCUUUUGGAACCCUUCUGUGAGCCCAGGACAUGGCUUCCAACUGACAGAGCCUCUUCCACUUGUGAGACAACAUCCAUCGCUUACUUGGAUUCAAAGUGUCAAGUCCUGACAUUGGGCUGAAGAAGUAAGAACACAUUUUCUACUUUAACAAAUGGCAGCUAAUAAACAGAAGGGAUACACCAAACAAACAGCACUUAUGUGAAGCUUAUAUCAGACAAAGCGUGAUUACGUGGAUUGCCUCAAAAAGUUGCAGGCAGUUAAUUCAGAAUGAUACAAUACACCUGAAAUAAACAAAGUGAAAUCUGGAAGUUAUGAAAAAGGUGUAGUCACUGAUAAAAAUGAUUAGAAUGGCACUUCAGGAAGAUUGGUUAUAAUCAAAAAUGUGAUGGUAUCAGGCGAUUUUUAAUCUAACUGCACACACCUAAUGGGUGUAUUCAAAGUCAGAUUUCAAAAUUGAGCAACAAAACAAGAUAAAGUUUUUACUGAUACACAGCAAAUGACAUGCUGUACUAGUUUAUACAUCACUGUUGGAAUUUCUAAUGAUAUGUCUGAUUCCAUUAAAAAAUAAUUCAGAUUCGGUCUCUAUAUUUCGGUUAACAGUUUUUUCAGUUGUCCUGGCCAAUGUGUGAACCAGAAAGAACUAAGCUAAAGUUAUGUUUUCUUUUUAAUGAAACAUCUUCAGCCCAGAGAUGUUUCCACACAAUUGUUGCAACAGGGCAAUUAUCGUGAUUUAAAAAAAAGUUUCAGCAUAUCAUAAGGUCUUGUUAGGGUCCUUUCUCAACUGUCCAGUUCUAAGUUUGAUCCAAAUAAAGCUUAAUUACAAAAAGUACUCUGAAGAGCUCCUUGUUGCAAAAACUGUAGUUAGACUAUUGCACUGUUCAGCAAACAACUAAAGACCCUCUCCCCAGGUCUUGAAAGGCAAAUAUAUUUUUAGGGCAGGCUGCUGUGAACUGUGCAGUUGUCCAAGAAUAGCUUUGCACUUUUUUGCUUUCUAAAAAUUGCCCAAUGUGAGCAUAAAUAUCCUGGAAUAUUAAAGGAUUAAACAUCUGGUAGGAAAUCCCUUUCCACUGGUUCCUUUGCACAUUGUGCAUUUAAUAAAUGUGUAACUGUCAUGGUUGUCUACUCGUGACAAUCUGAUGAAUAUAUCCUUUAGUCAAGGUGGCGUUUCUAAAACAAGUAAGCCAACAAACAAAAUUAAGCUUGGUAUCCAAAGGCAAUAUCUUACAAGAAAUCCCUGUGCUGAAUCUCCUCCUUCCAAAUGCUGCAUUAUAGACAAUCUUCAAGGCACUUUGAAGGCAACUCUGGCAUCAAUGACAUCAGUUUGCAGUCUCUGAUGACAAACAUACAUGGUGACAACUGACUCUGAAAAUUAUCAGCUGAAAAUAUCUUUCCAAAUCCAGGAAACCAUAUAUACAUUAUUAUAGUAUGAACACAGGUUUUCAGUAUUUCUGCAUAUGAGAAAACUCUUUGAAUUUAGAGACUAACAUUUAUGAUGUAUCAGGUUAGUGAAAACUGUAGUGGUAGUAAACAGGGACUGUUCCUGAACACAAGUAUGAAGUCCUCUGAAAGUUGCUGGUUUUAGUCUCGCAGACCGACACCCCAGACUGCCACAAAGCUUUGACCUUAAACAGCUUCUGCACAGAUUUUCUUACAAAAAAAUUGGUUAAUGUGAGCUCUCUGAAACUGAAUUAAUUAAUGUUUGUGAAGCAGUCCAACACUCUGGAGGAAAUAAAUAAUUCUACCUUACAGCAGUGUUUGAAUAAUGUGAAGUAAAUAAGGCCAUGGGGAUAUUCAGCAAACAGCAAAGAGGUAAAUAUAAUGUAAAACUGCUUGUUGUUGGAGUACUAGCUACUCUCUGUGUUUAAUGAGGCUGGGGUCCUAUGUAAUUGCAGUGUCACAGUGUACUCAGCAAAAGAGCUGAAUUAAGUUUUCCUGGGCAAUCUCAAUUCUGGCACUUCCUAUCUUUUGGGUACUUGACACAGCAACCACAAUAAUGUUCUUUUGUACAUGAGAUUGUUUGUGUUUUAAAGGCAUCAGUCAUUACAGCACUUAGGCAACACCAUAUGAAGUACAAACAGCAUCUUCUUGUGUGCUUUCAUCUCUUCCUCCAGAGGAAAUAAUCUGUAGCACAGAGUACUCCACAGCAUGCUUCCAGGAGCAGCUCUUCAGCAGCAAGGCACCUGCAGAAACAGUCUCCUGCUGAAAGCUCCCUUAGAUCUGAGGACAAGCUUAUCCCUGGUAGCAGCAUGAAACUCUUCACUGAAAACACUUUGUCUUCAUCCCCUUGGAGCUGAAGCUUUUUUGAACUCCAGUAUCACCAUCAAAUGCAAUAGCUGCACAAGGAAACCAGUAUAAGGCAACAGGAUGGAGAAAGUGAACAGAAAGGACAUACAGGCAAAUAGGUAUUUUAAGGUACCACAACAAAUCCAGUGUUGCAUAAGUAGUUGCUAUACAGCAAAUUAUGAUACAAGCUAUUUUCUUUCAUCCAUGGUAGCAGCUGGGUCACUGAACAAGAUGAUGAUGUAGCUUCUGCACAGCAUUCACAUUUCAUUAGAAUACAUUAUAAACCAUUUCUGAGGUAGUGCACUGUAUACCUUGCUUCACUGGAGACGUCUACCAAGAAUCUGACUGAUAUGAACCAGAUGAGAAAGGACUUGUGAAGAAAAGAAAUUCCUUCCUUCCCUCCUUCCUUAUUUUUUUUUUUUUUCCUUUUUUCAGUAAGGAUGACUUUAGGAAAAGAGCAACACAGAAGUUCAGCUCAGUGCAUUCAGUUUCAUUUGACUUCUUCCAGAAAAUACAUUACACCAUGGAGAUUUCUAGUUACUUCUUAUUACUGCUUACCAAGACCUGAAGGGUACAAUACCUUCAUUUUGAAAGAAAUGAUUACCUAUGCCCAACAUUAUCAUGUCAGUGACCAGUAAAACUCUUUCAAGAUGUAUAGAACUGGGCUUUGAGAAAGGUAUUUUUAGACAUGUGUACAUACACACUUCUGAAAUCUGUUUUUUCCUCAUCAGUUUCUCUUUAAGGGAUGAAAGCUACAGGAAGAAUUGUAUGGUUAUCUAUAACUCUGAACGAGAGACUGACUUUGCUUCUAGUGAAAAGCGAACAGAAGGGCAUGAGUUUUUUCACUUAAGAGGUAAAGGAGUAGUGAUCAGUCUUUUUAAUGCAAAGAGCAUUACAAUGUAAGGCCAGGUUUAUUUUGCUGUGCUGUAGUUUAGCUUUUUGCUCUGAGUGGUGAAUGUUUAAAACAGAAAUGCAAGAAACAUACACUAUAUUUUGUUGUUUGCUAAGAUUUCUUCGGGAAAAAAAAAGACCAAACAGUCCCACUACUGAUGAAUUACUUCAUUCUCUGAUUUGCAUUACUCCUGGUAAGGCAAGGGAUUCAAAUUAGAGCCCAUCUGGAGUCAAGAGAGAUACGCCUGGAAUAGGAAGAAUUGACUCUGAAUCCACACUGCCAACGGGGAUUGAGGCCAUAGCUGAAAUGAGGUUGUUGAUGAAAGGAGAGAGCUGCAUGGUAAUGCAACCUCCCACACCUGUAAUGGGAUGUUCACUGUCAGCUAGUGCUAGUGGAUGGGCAGAAAAAUGCCCACUCUUUUUUUCUCUGCCCUUUUUGUCAGUCUGUGCUGAGUCUUCAGCAUCUAGACUGUUGAGCUACUCCUGAAACAAUUCCACGCAUGUCUUAUCAUUUAAGAAGAUUAAAUUGAUGCACUUUGAUUGAAGUAUUAUUAGAUGGAACUGCAAAUUGCAGAGAAAAGAAAAAAGAUGUCAUGUAGAUUCAUCAACAUAUGUUACACAAAAACGUCAGAAUUAUGAGCCUUGUUGGGAAAUCCUGGCUAGUGCACAGAUGUCUUCUGCAAAAACCAGCAUGAAUAGCCUAUACAGGAUGAUUGGGAAAUAAUUGUUCACUUUUUUUUUUUUUUUUUUGGUAAUACAAUGCAAUACAAUACAGUGCAAUACAUUUAAGAGUUACUCAUCUAAGUGAAAGACAGUCAUCUUCGGUUCACCUUAUGGUCAGUGAGAGCUCCUGCAAAACAGUUCAUUUCACCUGUCCCACACAAUUAUAUUAUAACAGUCCUUGGGUGAUGAUUGCCACAAAUCUGAUAUUACCAGGGUCCAAAUAGGAGUCAGUGUGAUUUACCUGAGGUGUUAUAUCUGCCACAUUAGGAUAAUACAUAUGUAAAUUGUAAAUAAUGACAGUGCAUUAAACUUUGUUCAACACUUAGGGUGCUACAAUACUGGCUCAAUAAAAAUGCUCUUGUAAAUCUUUUGUGAUGUAAUUCUAGUGUGAAAUCUCAUUCAUGUGCAAAAUAAGACUGCAGCAUUAAAUGCAAAAUGUUGAUUUCUAUCAAACCCCCCAACCCCCUCCUUCCCCCCCCCCCCAAAAAAAAGUUAAAAUUAAUAUUAAAAAUAUACCACAAGAAAAAUCUUUUAUUUCUUGGAUGCUACUAAUUGCUAUUUAUAUCACACUAACAGUAAAAAAUUUCUGCUGUGAUUAUAUUCCUAUGGAGAUAGGUAUACUUCAAAAUUAAGAAAAUAGAUCUUAUCUGCAAAGACAUAAUCCUAAGGGUCAAUAUGUAUUACUGUUUUUUGGUGGUUUUUUUUUUCCUCAUUG
ensembl:lncRNA